AUGGUGGCUAGGAGCAUCUUGCCCCGGAGCGUGCUGGGAGUUGUGGUCUUUGGGCUCUGGCCUUCUGGUCAGCCACGUUGGUUUCCGGAACAUGCUGGGAACGGUAGUUUCAAGUUGCCACUCGGCACGGGGCCAUUUAGGAUGGGCAGUUACUUCCUCCGCGCCAGUGGAGCGGGGUGCCUUUUCUGGCCGUUUCCGUCUGGUGUUCCUUUAAGGAGCAGACGGCCUGGGAAGCCGUGCCUGCCGUUCUGCUUCCGCCCAUGCACGGAGCGGGCUGGCGCGGCAUCGAACAGCGAGCGGUGCAGUAGGCGAAGAGUCGUUGCAUGGCGCGGCGCUCUCUGCUGCCACCUGCUGGCGAGAGGGAGGUACUGCAGGCGGAGACGACGCGCAUGCGCUGUAGUAAUUGCCAAGAUUGGUGCCCCGCAGCAUGCCGGGAGUUGUGGUCUUUGGGCUCCGAGCUUACAUUCGGCCACUUUGGCUUCUGUGGCAUGCUGGGAAAUGCUGCUCGGCUUCCAAGCCAGGAGCAACACGGAGACGGGUAGGAAGGGUAGUUGUUUCCUCCGCACCAGUGGACCGGCGUGCCUCUUUGCCGCUUUCAUGUGGUUUUCCGCAGGGAUCCCACUGCUUGUGUUAACGAUAAAACGUUUUGAGAAGCCGUGCCUGGUUCCAUGCAUGCGCGGAGUCGGACGGCGAAAAAGCAGUACAGCCGGCCGGGCCCGGCGUGCAUGCGCAGUAGUGGUGCGUCGCCCUGUGCCGCCACCUGCUGGUGGGAACGUGAUACUGCAGCAGCAGGUAAACCUUAGGAGGAACUGGUCAAAGGAAACAGUGCUUUCUGGAACUGUCAAGUUCUUGUUCAGCAACUCAGUGACUAGUUUGAUCUACUUCUCAGAUGUAGAGGUGUCUCGCACAGGCUCAGUGGGGCCAAACUGCACUCAGAAGAGCAGCACGAGAAGGGCAGGCUGGUCAUGAGCUGGGUUGGAGCAGAACAGCCAAGUAGCACAAGGUGACUAUGAAAGGUGUCCAUCUUGCUUUGUGGGUGCCAUGGCAGGCUCUCCACAGAAGUGGCUGAGGAUUUGAGAUAAGGCCAGAGAGUGACAAGGAGCAGCACGUGCAGGGAUGGUUUCCAGGCGCUGCGGUGGCUUUCUCUUCUGUUCAUCAGGUGCCACAGGCAAG
rnacentral:lncRNA from 1 species